AACGAACGCUGGCGGCAGGCCUAACACAUGCAAGUCGAGCGCGCCCUUCGGGGUGAGCGGCGGACGGGUGAGUAACGCGUGGGAACGUGCCCUUUUCUACGGAAUAGCCUCGGGAAACUGAGAGUAAUACCGUAUACGCCCUUUGGGGGAAAGAUUUAUCGGAAAAGGAUCGGCCCGCGUUGGAUUGGGUAGUUGGUGGGGUAAUGGCCUACCAAGCCGACGAUCCAUAGCUGGUUUGAGAGGAUGAUCAGCCACACUGGGACUGAGACACGGCCCAGACUCCUACGGGAGGCAGCAGUGGGGAAUCUUAGACAAUGGGGGCAACCCUGAUCUAGCCAUGCCGCGUGAGUGAUGAAGGCCUUAGGGUUGUAAAGCUCUUUCAGCUGGGAAGAUAAUGACGGUACCAGCAGAAGAAGCCCCGGCUAACUCCGUG
rnacentral:rRNA from 1 species